rnacentral:lncRNA from 10 species
CGCGGAUAUCGAAACACAUUUUUUUGUUUUUCUUUGAGACAGGGUCUCACUCUGUGUCUCAGGCUGGAGUACAGUGGUGCAAUUGUAGAUGGCUGCAGCCCUCGACCUCCUGGGCUCAAGUGAUCCUCCUGCCUUAGCCUCUCGAGUAGCUGGGAGUACAGAUGCACACCACCACACCCAGCCUAGAAUGAAGAAACCUGCAGUUGGGAAGCAUGAAUUUACCACCUAUUAAGAAGUAGUCAUCAGGCAUGACCUCCCAUGGGUGCUCACAGAAGAUGGUGCCGUGCAUGUGCAGAACUUCCCAGGCCAAGAUCCACCACAUUGGACCCACUGAGUGAGCCCCCUUGUCAUUGCAUGAGAUGGUGAUGAUCACAUAGCGUAGAGGAGAGUAUGUGUGACACAGAGCAAUGGUAGUCAGUUUAACAUACGAUAGCCCUGUGAAAGGUGUGUGGUCAGCCCUGGGAUCAGUAACCAUCAGAAGACAUGGCUCCCAGAAGGCUACCUGGAUCUGGUUAGCAAAGGAACCAGAAAUAAGAGUGGCUCCAGUGGCAGCAGCAAACUUCAGCAUAG